rnacentral:tRNA from 1 species
AGGGAUGUAGCUCAGUGGUAAAGCACUAGCCUGGCAUGCUCACAGUCCUGGGUUCAAAUUCCAGUAGCACAA